rnacentral:lncRNA from 1 species
AUGGCGCGGAAAGGGAAGAAGGAAGCUCCUGCCCCUCCUAAAGUCAAAGCCAAAGCAAAGGCUUUGAAGGCCAAGAAGACAGUGUUGAAAGGUGUCCACAACCACACACACAAAAAAGAAGAUCCACACACCCCUCACCUUCCAGCGGCCCAAGUCACUGCGACUCUGUAGGCAGCCCAAAUAUCCUCGGAGGAGUGCCCCCAGGAGAAACAAGCUUGACUACUAUGCUAUCACCAAGUUUCCGCUGACCACUGUGUCGGCCAUGAAGAAGAUAGGAGACAACAGCACACUUGUGUUCAUUGUGGAUGUUAAAGCCAACAAGCACCAGAUCAAACAGGCUGUGAAGAAGCUCUAUGAUACUGAUGUGGCAAAUCAACACCCUGAUUUGACCUGAUGGAGAGAAGAAGGCAUACGUUCGACUGGCUCCUGAUUACAAUGCUUUGGAUGUUGCCAACAAAAUUGGGAUCAUCUAA